rnacentral:rRNA from 1 species
UGGGAACGUACCCUUCGGUUCGGAAUAACCCGGGGAAACUCGGGCUAAUACCGGAUACGUCCGCAAGGAGAAAGAUUUAUCGCCGAAGGAUCGGCCCGCGUCGGAUUAGCUAGUUGGUGGGGUAACGGCCCACCAAGGCGACGAUCCGUAGCUGGUCUGAGAGGAUGAUCAGCCACACUGGGACUGAGACACGGCCCAGACUCCUACGGGAGGCAG